GCUAGCAGCAUACCACCCUGCAUCCCACUGCUGGCUUGCUUCUGAAGCUAAGCAGGGUUGGUCAUGGUCAUGGUCAGUCCCUAGAUGGGAGACCAGAUGCUGCUGGAA
rnacentral:rRNA from 1 species